AGAGCGUUUGCAUCCCAUAACAGAAAAUCAGUCUGCGAUUGACUGAAUUUAACUAAUUUCAAUUUGUAGGGUGGCUCCUGAUUUAAACACCAUUUCUCGCUCUCGCUCUUUUUUCCCUGUCACCCAGCUCCUUGCCAGCUGUACACCUACAGAAGGACGAUUAUUCUAAAUCUUCCAGCCGAGGCAGCUCUCAGGGUACCGUCCACCUUGAUGGAGCAAACAUGCAUCAAGAUCGAGUCUCCUCUGUUGGGGACGUUUGGGGCACAGCUAAAGGGGAUGGCGGCUCUCUCUCCAGGCUAACUGCACUCACUGACAGUAGUGGAGUCUUUCUAAGUUCCCAUGAUAUGGGCUCUGGGCGAGAUCCAUAGAGACAGGUAGAAAAUGCUACGGCAAUGCCCUACUCUGAAAAGUCAGCCUGGGGAGGAGGAAAGAGAGUGACUCAGAACACUCCCUGGUUCUUCCAUGGUGCCACGAGCUCAACAUUUUUAAAACCACUGAUCUUCCUGACCAGCUUACUUCUGUCCCAUCACCCUCUCCAGCAUCAUAACCGACACAGCCCUAAAUCUGGCCCAAUUUACCUUCUCAAUUGCCUCUUGCAAGCUCUCCAUCCUUGUGACCCAAGAUUGCACAAAAUGUAGCACAGCCGCACUGGAUGCAGUUCUCCUAGGACAGGUCUUGG
rnacentral:lncRNA from 1 species